UGAUACAAACAUCAGUGUUUUCAAGUCUUAGUAUCCUGUUAUCAGAAAAGUCCUGCUGCUAGGCAGACACCAGCCUCUGUUGGCAAGAAGUCACGUAACCUCAGUGGGAUUUACUCAUGUGCUGCACCGCUGUCCCAGAUCACCUCAGCUGGAGCAGCAAAGUGUUUGGUCACCUCCCUUUCAAGGGCAGGUGUCAGAGCAGAUUUGGUCCCACAUUUUAGAAGAAGAUACGUACAGUGGCUUGGUAGUAUAGCAGCACAACCUCUGGUGAAGACAGGGACACAAGAGUUUAGGAAAAACUUCCUGGCCAAGAAGAGCUGUGGAAAUUCACUACCAGGUCUGAUUAAA